rnacentral:rRNA from 1 species
CUCGUAGUUGGAUUUGUGGUUGGGUUCGUCGGUCCGGCACAUUGUGCGGGUACUUGAUGGACUCGUCCAUCCUUGGGUGGAAUCUGUGUGGCAUUAAGUUGUCGUGCAGGGGAUGCCCAUCGUUUACUGUGAAAAAAUUAGAGUGUUCAAAGCAGGCUUAUGCCGUUGAAUAUAUUAGCAUGGAAUAAUGAGAUAGGACCUUGGUACUAUUUUGUUGGUUUGCGCACCGAGGUAAUGAUUAAUAGGGACAGUUGGGGGUAUUCGUAUUCCAUUGUCAGAGGUGAAAUUCUUGGAUUUUUGGAAGACGAACUACUGCGAAAGCAUUUACCAAGGAUGUUUUCAUUAAUCAAGAACGAAAGUUAGGGGAUCGAAGAUGAUUAGAUACCAUCGUAGUCUUAACCAUAAACUAUGCCGACAAGGGAUUGGCGGUCGUUGUAUUGACUCCGUCAGCACCUUAUGAGAAAUCACAAGUCUUUGGGUUCCGGGGGGAGUAUGGU